GACGAACGCUGGCGGCGCGCUUAACACAUGCAAGUCGAGCGAAGCGGCGGACGGGUGAGUAACACGUGAGUAACCUGCCUUAGACAUUGGGAUAGCCUCGGGAAACCGGGAUUAAUACCAAAUGGUCUAAGAUGGACUCGCGUCCCAUUAGUUAGUUGGUGAGGUAACGGCCCACCAAGGCGACGAAGGGUAGCCGGCCUGAGAGGGUGACCGGCCACAUUGGGACUGCGAUACGGCCCAGACUGGACGGGAGGCAGCAGUGGGGGAUAUUGCAAAAUGGGCGAAAGCCUGAUGCAGCGACGCCGCGUGGGGGAUGAAGGCCGUCGGGUUGUAAACUCCUUUCGACAGGGACGCGGUACUUAACCAGAAAGGGACGGCUAACUACGUGCCAGCAGCCGCGGUAAUUC
rnacentral:rRNA from 1 species